UACAGAGGGUGCGAGCGUUAAUCGGAAUUACUGGGCGUAAAGCGUGCGUAGACGGUUAUUUAAGUCGGGUGUGAAAGCCCCGGGCUCAACCUGGGAAUUGCAUUCGAGACUGAAUAGCUAGGGUACGGUAGAGGGAAGCGGAAUUUCCGGUGUAGCGGUGAAAUGCGUAGAUAUCGGAAGGAACAUCAGUGGCGAAAGCGGCUUCCUGGACCAGUACCGACGUUCAGGCACGAAAGCGUGGGGAGCAAACAGGGA
rnacentral:rRNA from 1 species